UUGGACCUGAUAUCAGGCAAGAUUAC
rnacentral:rRNA from 2 species